GAAUUCACUAGUGAUUCAGGCCUAACACAUGCAAGUCGAGCGGUAACAGAGAGUAGUUUACUAUUCUGCUGACGAAAAAAGGACGGGUGAGUAAUGCCUAGGAAUCUGCCUAGUAGUGGGGGAUAACUUGCCGAAAGGUAAGCUAAUACCGCAUACGUCCUACGGGAGAAAGCAGGGGACUCUUCGGAGCCUUGCGCUAUUAGAUGAGCCUAGGUCGGAUUAGUUAGUUGGUGAGGUAAUGGCUCACCAAGACUGCGAUCCGUAACUGGUCUGAGAGGAAGAUCAGUCACACUGGAUCUGGGACACGGUCCAGACUCCUACGGGAGGCAGCAGUGGGGAAUAUUGGACAAUGGGGGAAACCCU
rnacentral:rRNA from 1 species